AAGCAAACUAUUUCCUGUUGUUUAUGAACCACAAGGCCCAUCUCUCCUCCCUCUUCGCUAAACUGACACGGAUGUUGGUUAUAUAUCAGGACAAACCAAACUCACAGCACAAUUUUCAAGCCAACACACAGCAGCUUUGCUUUUCUUUGGAUUUUAGUAAUUUUGAAAAAUGAUCUACAUGACUCUGUUUUUAUUAUUACUAAUGCAGUUAUCAGUUUCUGCUCAAAGUGGAUCAGGAGAUUAUGAUAGUGACUCUGAGAUAUGUGAUGUGACGUGCCAAUCAGAAAUCAGUGAUCUUGACAAGCUGCUCUUUUAUGUUGCAUGCCAACUGGAUGAAUGUGCUAUUGAAGAUAUUCAAGGACUGGAACUAUGUGAGGACAAAAAUCAAUGCAAAAAAAAUGGAGGAAAUAAAUGGAACUUAUAAAACAGACAACGUUGGUGUAACUUAUCAGACAUUUAAACUGUGCAUCAGUAAUAACAGAUCAAGGAACUGCUUCGCUAAAGAUGAUGUAUUGCACAUUAUAUGAAAUGAAAGUGCUAUGUUUGCCCCGGAGCGACCCUUUUGCCAAGUAUAGGCACGCUGCGAGAUCCCCUCUCUUCACCGUCAGUGUCUGUCCUGGCAAUGCUGUGCUGGCUUUUGAGUAGAGCACCACCUAGUGACAAGUCUAGCACUUACCGUGUCGGCCGCAAUGUUUUGCAGAU